UGUCUCCAUUGAUUCAAGUUGAGUUGGUAUUAACAAUGGAAGGUAUCUACGACUGUUGCAUAAUGGUUGAAGAGACCCAAUUGAAUAUAAAGGUAGGGGUUGGAAUUAUGUAAUGGGUUUAUACAUAUAAAUGGGUUAUUGUGUUUUUUUCCAAUAAUAAAAAUAUUAAUGCGUCUGAAUAUUUAAAAAAAAAUUAUAAUAAAAAUACAAGAUAUUGGAAGGAAGAUUUUGGUAGGUGAAAAGAGUGUUAAAAGUAUUUAGGGGAGGAUGUGAAACUUUUGAGAAACGGAAGACUACCUUUAUUAUUGAGUGUUUAUAAUUU